CAACCGCGUUUGCAGUUCUGCCCAUGGUCCCGCCCCAUAUCUGGCAGCCAAUGGGGGCGGCCCAAUUUCAAAUUAGGGCUCACCGCGCGUGUCGUUCGCAAAAAAUAACUGCCGCUGCUGAAGAGAAGCAAAGAAGACCACCGAGCUGGAGAAGAGCUAAAAAACGCAAUUUAUAGAUUACAAUGGCAUUUGCCAAUUAUUAUAUCAACGACAAGACUGUGGAAGAUGGGAAGAUUUCAUGAAUAAGUCCUGACGACCGGCAAUUAUGUCCAACAACAGUAAAUCACUCAGUGCCCUGAUCUGGAAGAAGACGAAUGGAUGGAGAUAAAGGGGGAGAUUAACGACAGGAAAAAGUCAAACGGCCCAGCCUUUUUUCCUGGAAAGGUUUUGAUGACUGCUGAGCUUCCAGGAGUAGUAGUGACAAGGCCCCAACACCUCCAUCAACCUGGUCAACACACCACCUGGAGAUUGCCUACCUUCUGCACAGAGCUCUCAAGUGUUAUCUGAGCCUGAUGAUAUGCUCAUGCCCAGGCGAAAUUCCCUGACCACCAUGCAAGAUGUGAGACGAAUAAUAAGACAGAAGUACAACAACACCAAGCAAGUAAACGAAAAGAAGUCCCAAAUGUCAACAUAUUAUGUAAAAAUAAAUAUGAAAUAAAUAAAUCAAACUUAUUUUCAA